rnacentral:lncRNA from 1 species
AAAUGAUAUCUGUCUUACAGUUAUUAUGUAGAUUUAAGGAGAUAGUAUGCAGAAAAGCAUCAUACAACAAAUUAGUUUCCUUCCUAUAAAUGUAUCUCAGAGAACUUAGCCACAUGCAGGACCAUCAAAAAUCUAUAAACAUUACAAUAAGGCAAAGCUUGAGCUAAAAUGUGGAGGAAUUAGUGAAUUUUCCUGUGCACAUGAUAAUUCACAUGAGAUAGCAAGAUGUUUUCAAAUAUAGCUGCCAUACAAUGAUUGUUUUUUGUUUUUUGUUUCUUCUGUGCAGUGACAAAUGAGAUCCUCUAUUGGGCUUUAUGUCUAAAGCUUGCAUUUCAAGCAAUUUCCUCACUCGAGGUCAGGAGUUCAAGACCAGCCUGGCCAACAUGGUGAAACCCCAUCUCUACUAAAAAUACAAAAUUAUCCAGUCAUGGUGGCAGGCACCUGUAAUCCCAGCUACUUGGGAGGCUGAGGCAGGAGAAUGGCUUGAGCCCGGGAGGCACAGGUUGCAAUGGGCUGAGAUCAUGCCACUGCACUUCAGCCUGGACAACAGAGCGACCCUCCAUCUCAAAAAAAAAAAAAAAAUCAGGUUUUCAUCGCAUCAAGGAUGCUAAAAAGAAUAAGCAUCACUUAAUUUUCUCUUUGUUUCCAUUUGAUCAGCCAUGGAUUGUUACAGAACUUCACUAAGCAGUUCCUGGAUUUACCCCACUGUGAUCCUCUGCUUAUUUGGUUUUUUCUCCAUGAUGAGACCCUCAGAACCAUUCCUUAUCCCAUAUUUAUCUGGACCAGAUAAAAACCUGACCAGUGCAGAGAUAACAAAUGAGAUCUUCCCCGUUUGGACAUACUCCUACCUGG